rnacentral:rRNA from 1 species
UACGUAGGGGGCAAGUGUUGUCCGGAUUUAUUGGGCGUAAAGAGCGUGUAGGCGGCUUCACAGGUCCGCUGUGAAAACUCGAGGCUCAACCUCGAGCUGUCGGUGGAAACCGUGUGGCUAGAGUCCGGAAGAGGAGAGUGGAAUUCCCGGUGUAGCGGUGAAAUGCGCAGAUAUCGGGAAGAACACCCGUGGCGAAGGCGGCUCUCUGGGACGGUACUGACGCUGAGACGCGAAAGCGUGGGGAGCGAACAGG